rnacentral:rRNA from 1 species
GAGUUUGAUCCUGGCUCAGAUUGAACGCUGGCGGCAGGCCUAACACAUGCAAGUCGGACGGUAGCACAGAGAGCUUACUCUUGGGUGACGAGUGGCGGACGGGUGAGUAAUGUCUGGGGAUCUGCCCGAUAGAGGGGGAUAACCACUGGAAACGGUGGCUAAUACCGCAUAACGUCGCAAGACCAAAGAGGGGGACCUUCGGGCCUCUCACUAUCGGAUGAACCCAGAUGGGAUUAGCUAGUAGGCGGGGUAAUGGCCCACCUAGGCGACGAUCCCUAGCUGGUCUGAGAGGAUGACCAGCCACACUGGAACUGAGACACGGUCCAGACUCCUACGGGAGGCAGCAGUGGGGAAUAUUGCACAAUGGCGCAAGCCUGAUGCAGCCAUGCCGCGUGUAUGAAGAAGGCCUCGGUU